rnacentral:tRNA from 1 species
GGAUCCAUGGCCUAAUGGAUAAGGCGUUUGACUUCUAAUCAGAUGAUUGUGGGUUCG